rnacentral:rRNA from 1 species
UAAUUGCGAUUUCCAAGCUAUUAGAUGGAUGACUAGGUUUGAGUACCGAAGAAGGACGCAGCAAGUUGCGAUAAUCGGAGGGUAGGCGCAGACGGCCGUUGAUCUUCCGGUUUCUGAAUGCGUGAUGCAUGUGCGUAUGCACAUAUCUGUGUGUAAAAGCAUAGAGGGAUACGCAGGGAAUUAAAACAUUUUAGUACCUGCAGGAAAAGAAAUCAAUAGAGAUUCCCCUAGUAAUGGCGAACGAAAAGGGAACAGAACGAUCCGAAUCCGCAGCAAUGCGGAGAUGUGGUGCGGGUCUUGGUCAUUUUGGAUCUGCCGAAAUCAACUGGAAUGUUGGGCCAUAGAGAGUGACAGCCUCGUAGGCUUUGAAGGAAUGACCAUCCGCGUUGAGUAGCAGAGGUCGAAACUCUUCUGUGAAGGUGGGUGUCAAAAACAUCCAAUUCUAAAUAUAACUCAAAACCGAUAGCGAACAGUAGCGUGAGCGAAGGUUGAAAAGCACUCCUGACGAGAGGGUGAAAAGAGCCUGAAAUCUAAUAGUUAUAGUUGUUGCGGCGCGUCGUGAACCUACGAAAAAGUAAGUAGGCUCAAGUGUUGCAACAUCCUUUUAGCAUAAAGGGGCAGGGAGUUUGCGUGUAUGGCGAGGCUAACCUUAAAGGGAUGCCAAAGCGAAAGCGAACAUGGUUUUCCAUGUCGGUAGGAAACUGCCGCAAGUCAUAUGCGCAAGACCCGAAGCUGCACGAUCUAUGCGUGUGCAGGGCGAAGUGGGAAUUACUUCUCAUGGAGGCCCGAACAGGUGGGGAACUAACUCCUCUGUUGAUGCACGUAUAGGAGCGAAAAACUAAUCGUGCGCAGCGAUAGCUGGUUCCCCUCGAAAUAUCCCAUAGGAUAGCUUAUACCUAUGUAUGCAGACGGUAAAGCAACCGAAGAUACAGAUAGGAACCGAAAGGUUUCACUGUAUUAUCAAACUCAGAAUGUUUGCAUAUGAAGGGUAUUUGUUGGGCGUAUGGCGUAAAGUUGUACACCGAGAAGGAAAAAACCUAGACAUGGGUUAAGGCCCUUAAGUAUCUACUAAGUGCAUUAAAAAGGAGUUGCAUCUAAAACAGCUGGGAGGUGGGCUCAGAAGCGGCCAUCCUUUAAAAAGUGUGUUAUAACUUACCAGCCUAGAUGUAAUGACUUUAAAAUGGACGGGGCUAAGUAGAUCGCCGAUACCCAUGACCUCGAAAGAGGUGGUAGAGGGGCGAGCUGAUAGGCUAGAAAGUUUUCCGUGAGGGAAACCGGACCUUUCAGUUUUGAGAAUCCUGCUGGAAGUAGCAAAUUGAUGGGUGAGAAUCCCAUCUGCCGCAAGUGUAAGGUUUCCUUGUUUAAGAUUAUCUAACAAGGGUUAGUCGGUCCUAAGUUCAGCUUCGAAAGGAGCUGGGCAAAAGGGAAAGGGGUUAAUAUUCCUCCACUAAAGUGGAUCUAUCCGUCGUUACGGGUAAGGGUACGCGGGGUAGCCCAGUCAGGCUAUGUGCGUAUGUGAGGUGAUGGAGAAACAUAAUGUUGAGAAGUCACUGAAAUGUAUGUGCCGCAGCGAUGCGCUCGCAGACCCCAUGCUCCAAUGAAAAUACGGCGGUUACUGUCCAUUUUAACCGUACCGAAUACCGACACAGGUGCACUGGCUCAGAAGGCUAAGGCAAGGGAAUUAAACCGAGCAAGGGAAAUCGGCAAAUUAGUCUCGUAAGUUAGCGAGAAGAGAUCCCUGAUCCGGUCAAAAGCUGGAUCAGGGCGCAGUGACUAGGGGAGCCCAACUGUUUACUAAAUGCAUAGCUGACUGCUAGAGAGCAAUCUUUUGUACAGUCGGCGACAUCUGCCCAGCAUAGGUAUCCGAAAACUUGUUUCAACGGGUAUAAGGACCUAUUAGCGGCGGAGGUAACUGUGACCUUCUUAAGCAAGCAUCACCUUGCCAAUUGAUUGUUGGCUUGCGAACGAUGUAAUGAGGUUCCCACUGUCCCUGCUUGGAAUCCCGCGAAACUAUUAUUCUGGUGCAAAGACCAGAGACCCUCACUGGGUCAAAAAGACCCCAGGAACUUUACUGCAGUCUCUUAUUGUGGUAUUAAAACGAUAGACAUAGCGUAGGUAGGAGACGUUAUGCCUGCCAUUUCGGUGGCAGGAUAGUCGAAAGUGUAACACUACCUCUAUUGUUUUAUAUCGCUUACCGUAUGGAACAGUAGGAGAUGGGCAGCUUUGCUGGGGUGGCAAUCCCACGAAAAGAUAACAUGGGAGCCCAAAGGUCAUCUUAGGUGGUAUAGGAAUCCACCGUCAAGUGCAACGGCAAAAGAUGGCUUGACUGUGCACUGCAUAGCAACGUGCGCAGGGACGAAAGUCUGGCGUAGCGAACACGAAUGAUCUCUUUUUGAGUUCUUCGUAUGACAAAAAAGUUACCCUGGGCGUAAGAGAGUUGUUGCGGAUGAUAGCUCAUAUUGACUUCGCAGCUUGCUCCACAGUCUUUGGCUCUCCCCAUCCUGGUUGUGCAUAGGCAACCAAGGGUACAGGUGUCCACUGGUUAAAGGGGACCGUGAGCUGAGUUUAGGCCGCCGCGAGGCAGGCCGGUAUUUAACUAGUGAGGGUGCUCGAUACCUGAGCAGAAGACUCGAUUAGUACGAAAGGAACAACGAGUCGGCGCCUCUAGUUAGCGGUUAUCUGACAAGGUAAGCCGCGUAGCCACGCGCCAAGGGAUAAGAGCUGAAAGCAUCUAAGCUCGAAACCCACCGCAAAAAUAGGUAUCGUUGAGGCUGGGGAAAAAGACCCCGUUGAUAGAAUCGACGUGUAAGAAUCAAGGCGAAAGCCGAGGUUUUCAGCGUACGAUUACUAAUCAGCCAAAAUUAUCGCAAUUA